rnacentral:rRNA from 1 species
CCCUGCAUUCAGUUGCCAUCGGUAAGGCCGGGCACUCUGGAUGGGCUGCCGGCGACAAGCCGGAGGAAGGUGGGGACGACGUCAAGUCAUCAUGGCCCUUAUGUCCAGGGCGACACACGUGCUACAAUGGCCGGCACAACGGGAAGCGAAGGGGCGACCCUGAGCGGAUCCCACAAAAGCCGGUCCCAGUUCGGAUUGCAGUCUGCAACUCGACUGCAUGAAGUUGGAAUCGCUAGUAAUCGUGGAUCAGCCAAGCCGCGGUGAAUACGUUCCCGGGCCUU